AAGCGCCACAAAAAACACGGACUGGAUCACAGCGCAAGUGGAGUGUGAAUUGGUCUAAUUCACAUGAGUGAACCUAUAAGAAAUAAGUCGUGCCUCAGAACGAAAUCUCCCACAGCUACCCAGAAAAUUUGCUAUUGCAUCUGGUAGCAAGCAGCAUGCUGUUCUGUGCACUGAAGCAAUCUUCGUACAUUUAAGCUUUGGAGAAGAUCUGUCUUUUUACAAAACAAAUAAAUAACAGCUUCAAGAGCCUCAGUGAAGAUUCAAUAAUAUGUACACCUUUUACAUUGCUCAGCUAAGCAUUACAAGAGCAUCAUCAUGAAAAUACGGUAACAAAAAGAGUUUAAGUAUGAGAGAUUCUGCACAGCAUACAGGAGCCUAUGCUCAAGAAGAAAAUAUCAGUUUCCCAACCCAAAAUCUGCUUCAGAUUUAACAAGUGAACUCUAACAGCUCUAACUCUAGAAAGUCAUGCAAAAGCAGCAAACUUUUAUCAGUAAGUUUAGCAGUUGUCAUAGCAAAGGCAAAAUCUGAAGCAGAUCAUGCAAAACUAGCUUUUGCUAAAAAGAACCUGAUGAAUAAAGAAACAGUCUGAGUUAGAGGCAAGUUUACAUAUUCCGCAAAACAAGAAAGCUGCUGCAGCUACCUGUGGGGGAAGUCAUGGCCUAAUGGUUAGAGUCUGUGGGUUCGAGUCUGAGUCGAGUCACGACUGAGGUGCCCUGGAGCAAGGCACCGAACCCCCCCAACUGCUACCCAACAUGAACCCACCUCGUAUUAAUUAAGUCUGAGAAACAAUAUUCAGCUGAGCUUCAAGCAGUACAGUACAUGACAUCACAAGGUAUCUAAUUCAAACGUAAAUGGUCAGUUCAGGUCUCUAAACAUUUGAUGAUUGACCUGAAAACUAUUGGUCAUGUAAAGCCUCAAUUCUGAGUGCUACCAGACAUGUAAGCUUGUAAUGCAGAGCUGGAUUUAAUAAUUGAAUGACUUGCAGUUAUGCAGUCAGUCCCCUAGCUGGACUGCAGAUAUCAUGGCUAAGAUAAAUGUUACAGGGCUCCUGAAGUUAUUGAACAUGCCUUGUUAAAAAAGCUGGAAGAAUUCCCCAGCUAAACAAUAAGGACAAUGCUUAACUUUGGGAGUUUAUUGAAUAUAGUAUAAGGUUAUUUAUGUCUGUACUUUUGAGAGUCUCAAAUAGCUUCCUUGUGUAUGUCAACACAAUUGGCCAAUAAACCUGAUUCUGAUUCUGA